rnacentral:rRNA from 1 species
GAUGAACGCUGGCGGCGUGCUUAACACAUGCAAGUCGAACGAAGAUGCCGGAGUGCUUGCACUUUGGCAGACUGAGUGGCGGACGGGUGAGUAACGCGUGGGUAACCUGCCUUAUACAGGGGGAUAACAGUUGGAAACGACUGCUAAUACCGCAUAAGCGCACGGUAUCGCAUGAUACAGUGUGAAAAACUCCGGUGGUAUAAGAUGGACCCGCGUCUGAUUAGCUUGUUGGCGGGGUAAUGGCCCACCAAGGCGACGAUCAGUAGCCGGACUGAGAGGUUGGCCGGCCACAUUGGGACUGAGACACGGCCCAGACUCCUACGGGAGGCAGCAGUGGGGAAUAUUGGGCAAUGGGCGCAAGCCUGACCCAGCAACGCCGCGUGAAGGAAGAAGGCUUUCGGGUUGUAAACUUCUUUUCUCAGGGACGAACAAAUGACGGUACCUGAGGAAUAAGCCACGGCUAACUACGUG